rnacentral:rRNA from 1 species
UACGUAGGGGGCUAGCGUUGUCCGGAAUCAUUGGGCGUAAAGAGCGUGUAGGCGGCCCGGUAAGUCCGCUGUGAAAGUCGGGGGCUCAACCCUCGGAUGCCGGUGGAUACUGUCGGGCUCGAGUACGGAAGAGGCGAGUGGAAUUCCUGGUGUAGCGGUGGAAUGCGCAGAUAUCAGGAAGAACACCAACGGCGAAGGCAGCUCGCUAGGACGGUACUGACGCUGAGACGCGAAAGCGUGGGGAGCGAACAGG